CGGGAGGCGGCGGGCGGCGCCGCGCGAAGGGACCGAAGUACUCGGCGGCGAAGGUGAGCACGUCGGCCGGCUGGCGCAGCAGCAGGAAGAGCAGGAAGUCGGAGAUGAGCGCUUGGGCCUCGGGGUGGUGCCGCAGAGGCUUCACUCACCUGCCUCCCUCGUGACGGGCAUCUUGGUGACCAUGCAGUACCCCGGGGAGCCCACCUGGACUCUCUUGGCCAGAUGUCUGGAGUGCAACACAGAAGCUGUGAGUGUGGGGGCCUUCCCAGAGCAGCCCACUCCCUUGAGAGAUCCUGGGGACCUCCCUUUACUGCUGCCUCCCCCCACUUGUCUUUGAGUUCCAGGGUCUGUUCAUUUCUAGAUGCCCAGAUAAUGGCUCCUGUUUUUCAGACUGGGUGCUGUUCAUCCCCCUGGAGAUGCAUAUGGAUGUUCUAGGGCUGGCCUGAGAUCCUAGAGGUAAAAGCACUAAAAAAAUUGUGAGCCUCUUGCUGUGUGACACUCAAAGUAGAAACAAGUCAACAAGUUAUGAAAUAAGGAGCACCAACAAUGUUCUGAUUACCUUUCUUCUAGUGUAAUGAUUAUGUCAAUAGCUCUUCAGAAAUUUCAACAAAUUCUUCUCCUCUCCCUCCCAGAUUUUCUCAUGAUUUGGUACCUGUGCUUUGCUGGUGACCGCUUGGCACUGUGCUUCUCCCAGCCCACUGAUUUUUAUCAAGUGUCCAAUUGUUCAAACCUUGGUGUUUUGCAGCAUUACACCCAACACCUGUGGCAACUGCUUUAGCUAUGCCUUAGGCCCUGUGGAGUUGGCGUUGACUUCCCCAGCCCUUUAGGAUUCUUUGGUGUGGUUUGGGAGGAUCAGGAGAAUGAGUGAAUCAAUGAAGAAAGGGUGAUUGAGGUGGACAAAGCAAGGGGCCAUCAGAUCUCAACAGCAGCUCUUCCUUGUGGUAUCCCCAGCAACCGCUGUCUCCUUUUACUCAACACUGCCCCCUGGGCCCCACCAUCAGGAGCUCACCCAUCAGAGAGCAGGAAGAACUGGCAGGACAUGGGGAUGCCCGCAGUGGAGUGAACGGUCUGCUCCACAAUGAACACUUUCGCCUGCUGACGGUCCACCUGGAUUGUCUGGAAGCCCAGGCCUUCCUGGCAGCCACCAAAAUGGAGGGAGGAGGUGAGGUGAAUGUCCGCCAGGUUCUCACUCCAAAUUCUCCCCCAGUCCUUUUCUCCAUCCUGCACCUUCAUUCCUUGUUCACCAGUGAUAAGCAACCCUUGGAUGUCCAGAGCCUUGGGCGCCACGAGAUUUGAGUUGGGGGACCCCUCAUAAGGAGCCAAGUUUGCCCUUCUUCUGCCCCAACCUCUCCCGAACCCAUCUCCACGUUGGUGGAUUCUGUUUCACGGAUGAGGAUCAACCAGUUAGGGGUGAGUGGGAGGAGGGUUAGGGGGCUGGGCUGUCUGGGGGAGGUGUCAGGUACUGAGGAGUGACAGGUUGGGGUUUGUGGCCCCUCAGGCCCACGCUGCUGCAGGCAGAGGACCCUGUUGUAAUUAAACUCCUGUCUGGUGGCCGGCCAUCGGGAGAAAGGUGCUAACACAGAAUGUGUGCUUCAAAUGAAAUGGGGGAACAUGACAUGGGCCUGUAUGUGUCACACACAUCACUCUGUCAUAUUUGUGUAUUGUGUCAUUUACAGUCAAAUCGGUGCCCAAAGUGUGUGUUCAGUAGUGCAGCUUUGAAAUCACAUAUUGCAAGAAGUCCUAGCCUAGGUAUGUUGAUAAUGACAUUUUCUCCAAAAAAAAAAUAAGACAACAAAAAACACCCUUCAGGGUUGAGACAUAAUAAAAGAAUAUCUGUGUGUAGUUGGA